rnacentral:lncRNA from 1 species
UAUCCGUCAGAGAGGUCUGGUUCCAUGAAAAAUCCAACAGUGGGUUGACCGACAGUGGAGUUCGGAUGGCGUUGUGGGGGUUUGUCCACUGGAGGAGUCUUGAGGACACUGUGGAAGGUUGAACGUUGGAGGGGUCCGAGAUUCAAUAUUCAAUUCUACUGUAGAAGUUCGGACGGAGUCCAACUUUUGUAGGAGUCUGAAAGGAGGCCGCUUAUUGUAGAAGCUCGGACGAAGACCAGUUAUCGUGGAAGCUCGAAUGGAGACUUCUUAUUAUAGAAGUCCUGCUGCUGGAGAAGCUCGAUCAUUGAUGAAGUUCAGAAGA